rnacentral:rRNA from 1 species
ACUUUGAAAAGAGAGUGAAAAAGUACGUGAAAUUGUUGAAAGGGAAGGGCUUUGAGAUCAGACUUUGGUAUUUUGUGUUCCUUAUCCUUCUUGGAUUAGGUUCCUCACAGCUUACCGGGCCAGCAUCGGUUUGGAUGGCAGGAUAAUGACAUUGGAAUGUAGCUUUGCUUCGGUGAAGUGUUAUAGACUUUGUUGAUACUGCCUAUCUAGACCGAGGACUGCGUCUUUUGACUAGGAUGCUGGCGUAAUGAUCUUAAGCCGCC